rnacentral:misc_RNA from 1 species
CAGAGUUGCAAAACUCCCACAAACCAUCGCGAAUCUUACCCGUACGGUUGCCUCGGCGCGGGCGGUCCGGAAGGCCCUCGGGCCCCCCGGAUCCUCGGGUCUCCCGCUCGCGGGAGGCUGCCCGCCGGAGUGCCGAAACCAAACUCUUGAUAUUUUAUGUCUCUCUGAGUAAACUUUUAAAUAAGUCA